CCUACGGGGGGCAGCAGUGGGGAAUAUUGGACAAUGGGCGAAAGCCUGAUCCAGCCACGCCGCGUGAGUGAUGAAGGCCUUCGGGUCGUAAAGCUCUGUGGGGAGGGACGAAUAACGCGGUGAAGAACCGCGCUUGACGGUACCUCCUUAGCAAGCACCGGCUAACUUCGUGCCAGCAGCCGCGGUAAUACGAAGGGUGCAAACGUUGCUCGGAAUUAUUGGGCGUAAAGCGCACGUAGGCGGUCCUGUAAGUCGAAUGUGAAAUCCCUCGGCUU
rnacentral:rRNA from 1 species